rnacentral:rRNA from 1 species
GAUGAACGCUGGCGGCAUGCUUAGCACAUGCAAGUCGAACGGUGAAUGGGUUUUUAAUUUGGGUUUGGGUGGCGGACGGGUAAGUGACGCGUAAAAAGCUUGCCUCCUAGCUAGGGACACCAUUUGGCAACGAAUGCUAGUACCUAAUAUUAGGAUAAUAGGGCAUCCUGUAUUUAUGAAAGCUGUAAGCGCUGUGAGAGAGCUUUGCGUCCCAGUAGCUAGUUGGAGAGGUAACGGCUCACCAAGGCGAUGAUGGGUAGCCGGCCUGCCAGGGUGGUCGGCCGCAAGGGGCCUGUGACGCAGCCCGUACUCCGGCGGGAGGCAGCAGUGGGGAAUGUUUGACGAUGGACCAAGAGUCUGAUGCAGGAGUUCUGUGUGCACGAUGAAGUUUUUCGGAGUGAAAAGUGCUUUCAGUUGGGGAGAAAGAAAUGACGGUACCAACAGAAGAAGCGACGGCUAACUACGUG